rnacentral:rRNA from 1 species
UAACGCGUGGGUAACCUGCCUCAUACAGGGGGAUAGCAGCUGGAAACGGCUGGUAAUACCGCAUAAGCGCACAGUGCCACAUGGUACAGUGUGAAAAACUCCGGUGGUAUGAGAUGGACCCGCGUCUGAUUAGCUGGUUGGUGAGGUAACGGCCCACCAAGGCGACGAUCAGUAGCCGACCUGAGAGGGUGACCGGCCACAUUGGGACUGAGACACGGCCCAG